CUCCCUCUCGCCCCACCUCUGUGUGAGCGACCCAGUGAAAGAUGAGCCCUUGAGGCACAUUCCCUAGUAGAUUUAAAUGACAAAUCUAGAAAGAAGCGGUUUAAAUAUUUAUGAAGAGGCGGAGAGGUGUAGAGUGUCUUCCGGAAACGCUUCUGAUUGGCUGGUGUUUUCAAGCAAGUGUUAGCUUUAUGAAAUGAAGCUCAUCUCAGCUUGGACCAGACACAUUUCGAGUGCUUGGUAGCCUCAGUGACCAG
rnacentral:lncRNA from 10 species